rnacentral:rRNA from 1 species
CCUACGGGUGGCAGCAGUGGGGAAUAUUGGACAAUGGGCGAAAGCCUGAUCCAGCCAUGCCGCGUGUGUGAAGAAGGCCUUCGGGUUGUAAAGCACUUUCAGUGGGGAAGAAAGCCUUGGGGCUAAUACCCUCGAGGAAGGACAUCACCCACAGAAGAAGCACCGGCUAACUCCGUGCCAGCAGCCGCGGUAAUACGGAGGGUGUGAGCGUUAAUCGGAAUUACUGGGCGUAAAGCGCGCGUAGGCGGUCUGAUAAGCCGGUUGUGAAAGCCCCGGGCUCAACCUGGGAACGGCAGCCGGAACUGUCAGGCUAGAGUGCAGGAGAGGAAGGUAGAAUUCCCGGUGUAGCGGUGAAAUGCGUAGAGAUCGGGAGGAAUACCAGUGGCGAAGGCGGCCUUCUGGACUGACACUGACGCUGAGGUGCGAAAGCGUGGGUAGCAAACAGGAUUAGAUACCCCAGUAGUC